GAUCCUGGCUCAGGAUGAACGCUAGCUACAGGCUUAACACAUGCAAGUCGAGGGGCGAGCAUGGUCUUAGCUUGCUAAGGCCGAUGGCGACCGGCGCACGGGUGAGUAACGCGUAUCCAACCUGCCUUACACUCUUGGACAGCCUUCUGAAAGGGAGAUUAAUACAAGAUGUAUCAUGAGUAAGCAUUUUUGCAUGAUUAAGGUUUACCGGUGUAAGAUGGGGAUGCGGUUCCA
rnacentral:rRNA from 1 species